UACAGAGGGUGCAAGCGUUGUUCGGAAUUAUUGGGCGUAAAGGGCGCGUAGGCGGUGUGGUAAGUCUGUUGUGAAAUCUAUGGGCUCAACUCAUAGUCUGCAUCGGAAACUGCCGGGCUUGAGUGUGGGAGAGGUGAGUGGAAUUCCUGGUGUAGCGGUGAAAUGCGUAGAUAUCAGGAGGAACACCUGUGGCGAAAGCGGCUCACUGGACCAUAACUGACGCUGAUGCACGAAAGCUAGGGGAGCAAACAGG
rnacentral:rRNA from 1 species